ensembl:lncRNA
CUGGGAUACGGACGAGAGACUCGUGGAACCAAGCGGAGGUGAAGGGGCACCGGCGACCACAGGGCUUUAGCGCGGACCGUCCCCUACCCCCACCCGCCCUCCUCUCCCCUCAGACGGUUACCUGCCCUUCCGGCCGCUGCUCAUUAACGGGGCCGGUAUGUCCGCCGCCCGCGGCCCCUGCCUGCUCUGGUUGCGCCCCCGCGGGCUGGGGAGGGGAAGGGGGGCGGAGGAGGAGGGGAGCCGUUCGCGCUGUGUCUGGCUGGUCCCGGGGAGAUCGCAGCUCAGGCGGGGGGGAGGGGUCGGGAGUCGGAAGGAGAGGGCGGCGGGGGGGGGGUCGCUGGGUCUCGGCUCCUCCUCGUUUGCUUGGUCCCCGCUCAGCUCCCCGCAGCCAUCGGGAAGCGAGAGCCUGGGCGCGGUAACCUCCGCCCCGCCCGUGCUGCCCGGCCGGGAAACCCCGGCUCGGCUCGGCUCGGCGCUCCGCCCCGCCCCGCCACCACCCCCGGCACCGCCCCACCCUGCCCCCCUCGCACCUCCGGGUGGCGGCAGGCCUAGGCCCCGCUGCGCUGGAGGCACCGCUGUCUCGACGGUGACACGCCAGCACGGCCGGGAGGGCCGUGGCUACGACUGGACCUCACAUGAGCCAGGCAGGGCAGGUAUUACCAAGACAGAAUCGUUUCACGUCAGCACUCAUGGACUAAAGCUUCAAUACUUAAUGAUACAAAGCUUUUUCUUUGGAAAUUGUCUGCACUUCAAAAAUUGUAGCAAAAACUUUCUUCCGAAGGUGUUUUAG